UAUGGCCACAUCAUGUUGAAACAUGGGUUCCUAUAUGAUCACCAAAGUUAAGCAGCAUCAAGCCUGAUUAGUACCUAGAUGGGUGACCACUUCAGAAUACCAGGUGUUGUAAG